rnacentral:rRNA from 1 species
AACGAACGCUGGCGGCAUGCCUAACACAUGCAAGUCGAACGAGACCUUCGGGUCUAGUGGCGCACGGGUGCGUAACGCGUGGGAACCUGCCCUUAGGUUCGGAAUAACUCCCCGAAAGGGGUGCUAAUACCGGAUAAUGUCUUCGGACCAAAGAUUUAUCGCCUUUGGAUGGGCCCGCGUUGGAUUAGCUAGUUGGUAGGGUAAAAGCCUACCAAGGCGACGAUCCAUAGCUGGUCUGAGAGGAUGAUCAGCCACACUGGGACUGAGACACGGCCCAGACUCCUACGGGAGGCAGCAGUGGGGAAUAGUAGACAAUGGGCGAAAGCCUGAUCCAGCAAUGCCGCGUGAGUGAUGAAGGCCUUAGGGUUGUAAAGCUCUUUUAACCGGGAUGAUAAUGACAGUACCGGGAGAAUAAGCACCGGCUAACUCCGUG